rnacentral:rRNA from 1 species
UAGGGAAUCUUCCACAAUGGACGAAAGUCUGAUGGAGCAACGCCGCGUGAGUGAUGAAGGGUUUCGGCUCGUAAAACUCUGUUGUUGGAGAAGAACAGGUGUCAGAGUAACUGUUGACAUCUUGACGGUAUCCAACCAGAAAGCCACGGCUAACUACGUGCCAGCAGCCGCGGUAAUACGUAGGUGGCAAGCGUUGUCCGGAUUUAUUGGGCGUAAAGCGAGCGCAGGCGGUUUCUUAGGUCUGAUGUGAAAGCCUUCGGCUUAACCGGAGAAGUGCAUCGGAAACCAGGAGACUUGAGUGCAGAAGAGGACAGUGGAACUCCAUGUGUAGCGGUGAAAAUGCGUAGAUAUAUGGAAGAACACCAGUGGCGAAGGCGGCUGUCUGGUCUGUAACUGACGCUGAGGCUCGAAAGCAUGGGUAGCGAACAGGAUUAGAUACCCUGGUAGUCCAUG